ensembl:lncRNA
GGGAGAGUAAAGUUAUUUUAUUAAAUCAUGCACAUCACGUGUGUUAGUGCAAAUAGUUUAAUCUGUACUCCAGAAAUUCUAUUGUAUUUUUAUAUCUUUACAAAAUAGAUUUAAAACAAUUAUUUACUUUAAAAAAUGUAAUUCUGAAGUUAAGCAUUUCAGAACAAUAUUUGCAAUAACCUAUAUACAAGAGGUACUAAGUACCACUGGCAUACGAGUGUUCUGUGGUUGGGUGGCUUCCUGCAACUGAAAAGGAUGAAAUGAAUGAACUAAAUGACAAUAUAUAUUUUCUACAAGUCACUUGCGGACUUUUUUUCCAACUAAUAAUCCUCCCAUUAGUAAAUCCCAUUUAACUUAAGACAGAACCUUUAAUUAAAGGACAAUGACCCUUAAAACCUCACAAAGUAAAUUAUAUGCUAAAUUUCUAUUUAAAUAUUUAAACUGUCGAUUGCCAUAACAUUCUUUAAAGCCAAUUGAAUUGCUGAGAUUACCUCCCUAUUUUGAAGUUUCCUUUAGCAGAGCCAUUUUACUUUACCAUUCUUUAGCAUAUUAUUUAAGUCUUUAAUAAACUUUUUUGACAGAACUGUUGAGCUGAACAAGACAACUACAGUCUACAUUUAAUUCAGCACUCACUACAGUGAUUCCCACCAAAAGUCAGCAAGUAGCAAUAGUUAUAGUACUUAGAUAAGGAAAAAUAAACUUUGUAAUGGGGACCACUGCAUCAUACUUACAGCCAUGUGAUGAGGAUGCACAAAAUUUUACUACCAAAUUAAAAUCAUCUUUACCUGACAACACUUCGUCAGGUACAUGAUUCCAAUUUUGUAGUAUUUCAUGUAUCUUAGAUUUUUUCAGCUAAUCACAGACGUACUGUAGCAGUUCUCUUAAUAAAGUUACGUCAACAAAAGCUUAUCUAAAGAGCAUCUCCAGCUCAAGUCAGAAAGUAUCAAAUGACUGAAAAAAUAAACUGAUACAUGUGAUAUGUGAGAAAGUAUUCAUACUUUUAAGGAACGUAUCUCUUUAAAUAUAUGAAAUUUAAUAAAUUACAUUCAAACUAAAGUUAACGUAAGUUGAAUCACUGCACUAUGUCCAUCAAAUGACCAAGUACUUGCUCCCAGGAAUACCUUAGUUCACUCAAGAACACACACAUGCUUACACUCACACACGCGCACACUAAAUGCUUUAGGCUGGUCUUCACCAUCAAUAUCUCUAUCUUUUAAGGCUGGACAUGAAUUGUGUUUAUUCCCAAAAAUUAUGAAUAAAACAAUCCUUAUCAAAUAAAAUAUGCUUCCUUCAAAAGGUGUGAUAAGUUUUCUUAAGUCUUGUUCCCAACAGCUCAGUGACUUAAACAGCAAGUAAAAUGGUAUACUAGUUGUAUAAAAAAAAAAAAUAAUCAAAAAAAUCAUACUGAAGGCACUGAGCACACUGCAUCUGUUUACCAAGUAUCUGCAAGGUUACUUGGCUCGGGUGUCCAAAUUAGAAAUGUAUUUUUCUUCUUAAAUCUGGCAAUCAGAUUCUAAAGUAAGUGUCCACAACCCUAGCCAUUAUAAAUAAUUUGGUACCAAGAGCCUAC